rnacentral:rRNA from 1 species
GACGAACGCUGGCGGCGUGCUUAACACAUGCAAGUCGAACGGAAAGGCCCUGCUUUUGUGGGGUGCUCGAGUGGCGAACGGGUGAGUAACACGUGAGUAACCUGCCCUUGACUUUGGGAUAACUUCAGGAAACUGGGGCUAAUACCGGAUAGGAGCUCCUGCUGCAUGGUGGGGGUUGGAAAGUUUCGGCGGUUGGGGAUGGACUCGCGGCUUAUCAGCUUGUUGGUGGGGUAGUGGCUUACCAAGGCUUUGACGGGUAGCCGGCCUGAGAGGGUGACCGGCCACAUGGGGACUGAGAUACGGCCCAGACGCCUACGGGAGGCAGCAGUGGGGAAUAGUGCACAAUGGGCGGAAGCCUGAUGCAGCAACGCCGCGUGCGGGAUGACGGCCUUCGGGUGGUAAACCGCUUUCGCCUGUGACGAAGCGUGAGUGACGGUAAUGGGUAAAGAAGCACCGGCUAACUACGUG